rnacentral:rRNA from 1 species
AUACGGAGGGUCCGAGCGUUAUCCGGAAUCAUUGGGUUUAAAGGGUCCGUAGGCGGGCAACUAAGUCAGUGGUGAAAGUCUGCAGCUCAACUGCAGAAUUGCCAUUGAAACUGGUUGUCUUGAAUUAUUAUGAAGUGGUUAGAAUAAGUAGUGUAGCGGUGAAAUGCAUAGAUAUUACUUGGAAUACCAAUUGCGAAGGCAGAUCACUAAUAAUAUAUUGACGCUGAGGUGCGAAAGCGUGGGGAGCAAACAGGAUUAGAUACCCUAGUAGUCC